rnacentral:tRNA from 2 species
GGCUCUGUAGUUCAAUGGAUAGAAUAGAAGUUUCCUAAACUUUAGAUACAAGUUCGAUUCUUGUCAGAGCUACUA